UUUCCGUAGGUGAACCUGCGGAAGGAUCAUUAUUGUAUAACCGAGGUGCGAGGGCUGUCGCUGACCCGAAAGGUCGUGCACGCUCGAGUGUGUCCUCUUGCAUAAUAAUCCAUCUCACCCUUUGUGCAUCACCGCGUGGGCACCCUUCGGGAUCAUCUCGGAGGGGGGCUCGCGUUUUCACACAAACCCCCCUUUUAAAAGUGUAGAAUGACCACAUUUAUGCAAUCAAUACAACUUUCAACAACGGAUCUCUUGGCUCUC
rnacentral:misc_RNA from 1 species